rnacentral:rRNA from 1 species
ACGGGGCCCGGCACAAGCGGUGGAGUAUGUGGUUUAAUUCGAUGCAACGCGAAGAACCUUACCUGGUCUUGACAUCCCGGAGACCCUUAGGAAACUAGGGGGUGGCUUCCAUCUGGAAGAAUCUGGAGGACAGGUGCUGCAUGGCUGUCGUCAGCUCGUGUCGUGAGAUGUUGGGUUAAGUCCCGCAGCGAGCGCAACCCUUGCCUUUAGUUGCCAGCAGUUCGGCUGGGCACUCUAAAGGGACUGCCGGUGUUAAACCGGAGGAAGGUGGGGAUGACGUCAAGUCCUCAUGGCCUUUAUGACCAGGGCUACACACGUACUACAAUGGCCGAUACAAAGGGCAGCGACACUGCGAGGUGAAGCCAAUCCCGUAAAAUCGGUCUCAGUCCGGAUUGGAGUCUGCAACUCGACUCCAUGAAGUUGGAAUCGCUAGUAAUCGUGGAUCAGCAUGCCACGGUGAAUACGUUCCCGGGCCUU